GACCUUGAGAGGGUCAUUUCAUCUUGGUUUCCCACAUGGGAAAUAUCGCUGUGAAAUUAGAUGACCUCCAAGGCCACCGGACCAGCAGAGUCAGCAUCACCUAGGAGCUUGUUGGAAAUGCAGAUUUGAGGCUGCACCCCAGACCUGCUGAGUCAGAAUCUCUGCGUUGGGGCCCUGUGAGCUGUGUUUUAACAAGCCCUCCAGGUGAUGAUGAUCUGUGCUAAAGUUGAGAAGCGCUGAUCUAGGGGAGUGGCUUCUCAGACGUGGCUGCAGAUUAGAAUCACCGGGGAGUUCUGGAACCUCCCAAACAAAUCAGAAUCUCGUCGGCGGGGGAAGGAGGGACGGCAGGAAGCCCAGGCAUAAGUUUUUUUUUUUUAAGCUUCUCGAGUGACCCCCAUGUGCUAUCAAGUUGACGGUUUUGGUGACCACGAAGGGCCCAGAGCAGACUUGUCUCCUUCACCUAACUCUACGAGGAUCUGGAGCUUGGUACCAGCACAGGCCUCUUUGGUCCAUGCACCUCCACCUCGUCAGAGAGUCCAGACGAAUUUGGCUCCCAGGAAACAUCCUGACCAGGCCCACCUGUGACGGACUGCAAGGAGGAAGAAAUGAAUGCAUCCCCUCCAGAGUCUGGCAGGAACCAGGAAACAUUUACAACAACUUAUCACCUUGUUUUUUUUUUUUUCUUUUUUAACUUUACCUCCUUACCUCCCCCUCUUUGUUUUAUAAAAGAAACUAGCAUCCAAACCCAGGCAAGAUGGU